CCUCGCAGCUGUUACCGGGCAACAGCCGCGGCCAGCACCGGCCCCACCAUGGAAGGCGGCAGCGCCUCGUCCCCGCCGGGCCCCCCCCGGCCCUGGAGCCGCCUCCACGCCACGCCCGCGCGGUGCACCCGGGACCACGGGGUCCCCCGGCAGCCGGAGCAGCCCCCGGAGCCCUCCCCGCGGUGCUGGGUGAGCCCCAAGAAGGAGUCGGUGCACAGCAUCCAGGGGGGCAUCGAGUGCCCGCACAGCGCGGCCACCAACAGCGGCUACUCGCGCAAGGCGGACGGCGGCUUCUUCUCCCCGUAGCGCCGCAAUAAAAAGGCCCCGAGCAGCAGCGGCUCGGUGCCGGCGGGCGGAUCAGAAUCGCGGCGCGCUCAGGGGCCGGGCGCGGGGCCGGGCCUCGCCUAUCUGAUCGACUCAUCCCGCCCGCCCGCCGCACAGCGCCCGGGGGCUUCGCGGCGCGGCUCUUCUCAUCUCGGCCGGGGGCCGAUCAAAUAAGAUCAACGUGUAGGCGGCGGCACGCGCAAAGCCCACGCACACACACUCACACACACUCACGCCCCCUCCCACGCACACGCAGCCCCCACCCGCACACGCCCGCGCUGCCGCCGCUCUGCGCGCGGCCCCGCCCCUCCCCGCCCUUUUAUAACCUCCCCUCCGCGCGGGGCACGCCGGGUAGCGGGCAGGCCCCGCCCCUCCGCCUCGCGCCUCCUGGCGGCGGGAGGACCGCGGAGCCCCGCCCACCACGAGGCCCCGCCCCUCCCCUGGCUGAGCCACGCCCACUCAAUCGGAA